rnacentral:rRNA from 1 species
UGGGGAAUUUUGGACAAUGGGCGAAAGCCUGAUCCAGCAAUGCCGCGUGUGUGAAGAAGGCCUUCGGGUUGUAAAGCACUUUUGUCCGGAAAGAAAUCCUUGGCUCUAAUACAGUCGGGGGAUGACGGUACCGGAAGAAUAAGCACCGGCUAACUACGUGCCAGCAGCCGCGGUAAUACGUAGGGUGCAAGCGUUAAUCGGAAUUACUGGGCGUAAAGCGUGCGCAGGCGGUUUGCUAAGACCGAUGUGAAAUCCCCGGGCUCAACCUGGGAACUGCAUUGGUGACUGGCAGGCUAGAGUAUGGCAGAGGGGGUAGAAUUCCACGUGUAGCAGUGAAAUGCGUAGAGAUGUGAGGAAUACCGAUGGCGAAGGCAGCCCCUGGGCCAAUACUGACGCUCAUGCACGAAAGCGUGGGGAGCAAACAGGAUUAGAUACCCUGGUAGUCCACGCCCUAAACGAUGUCAACUAGUUGUUGGGGAUUCAUUUCCUUAGUAACGUAGCUAACGCGUGAAGUUGACCGCCUGGGGAGUACGGUCGCAAGAUUAAAACUCAAAUGAAUUGACGGGGUCAUAGCUGUUUCC